rnacentral:tRNA from 1 species
AAGGAUUUAAGUUAAAUAAACCCGUAGCCUUCAAAGCUUCUAAUAAAGAUACUUAAUUCUUUAAGCCUUA